rnacentral:misc_RNA from 1 species
GAUGAAGAACGCAGCUAAAUGCGAUAAGUAAUGUGAAUUGCAGAAUUCAGUGAAUCAUCGAAUCUUUGAACGCACAUUGCGCCCGCCAGUAUUCUGGCGGGCAUGCCUGUUCGAGCGUCAUUUCAACCAUCAAGCCCCCGGCUUGUGUUGGGGACCUGCGGCUGCCGCAGGCCCUGAAAACCAGUGGCGGGCUCGCUGUCACACCGAGCGUAGUAGAUUUUCAUCUCGCUCAGGGCGUGCUGCGGGUUCCGGCCGUAAAAAGCCUUAUUUACCCAAGGUUGACCUCGGAUCAGGUAGGAAGACCCGCUGAACUUAAGCAUAUCAAUAAGCGGAGGA